rnacentral:rRNA from 1 species
GACGAACGCUGGCGGCGUGCUUAACACAUGCAAGUCGUACGGUAAGGCCCUUUCGGGGGUACACGAGUGGCGAACGGGUGAGUAACACGUGAGUAACCUGCCCACAACUUUGGGAUAACGCUAGGAAACUGGUGCUAAUACUGGAUAUGUGCUCCUGCUGCAUGGUGGGGGUUGGAAAGCUCCGGCGGUUGUGGAUGGACUCGCGGCCUAUCAGCUUGUUGGUGGGGUAGUGGCCUACCAAGGCGGCGACGGGUAGCCGGCCUGGGAGGGUGACCGGCCACAUUGGGACUGGGAUAGGGCCCAGACUCCAACGGAGGCAGCAGUGGGGAAUAUUGCACAAUGGGCGCAAGCCUGAUGCAGCAACGCCGCGUGCGGGAUGACGGCCUUCGGGUUGUAAACCGCUUUCAGCAGGGACGAAGCUUUUUGUGACGGUACCUGCAGAAGAAGCACCGGCUAACUACGUG